AUCUUUACUUUAUAAUUAAACCCACCCCCACUAUUAAGUAACUUUAUACUGUUAUAAAAAUUAUUAUGUAAGAAUUAGUAAUAAGAAAUUGUUUUUCUCCAAAAUAUAAGUGUAAUGCAAAACAAACUAAUACCUGCCAAUUACUGUGUAUAAACUUUAAGUAGCAACUCCACAAGAAAACCCUACCACAACAAACAUUAACCUAACACAAGAAUAUUAUAGGAAAGAUCAAAAAAAGAGGAAGGAACUCGGCAAACACGAACCCCGCCUGUUUACCAAAAACAUCGCCUCUUGUUAAUAUAUAAGAGGUCCUGCCUGCCCAGUGAUUAAUUUAACGGCCGCGGUACACUAACCGUGCAAAGGUAGCAUAAUCAAUUGUCCUUUAAAUAGGGACUAGCAUGAACGGCACCACGAGGGUUUAACUGUCUCCCCAUUUUAAUCAAUGAAAUUAAUCUUCCCGUGAAAAAGCGGGAAUAAAACUAUAAGACGAAAAGACCCUAUGAAGCUUUAAACUUAUUACCACUUAUCUCAACCAUAUAACAACUCACACGAUAAGACUGUUUAAAUAGUUUUCGGUUGGGGCGACCCUGGAGAAAAGUAAAUCCUCCAGAUUGAAAAAAAACAACCCUUAUACAAGAACCACAAUUCAAAUAAACAAAAAUUUGACAAAACUGACCCAGAAUUUACUGAUCAGCGAACCAAGUUACUCUAGGGAUAACAGCGCAAUCUAUUUUAAGAGCUCCUAUCGACAAAUGGGUUUACGACCUCGAUGUUGGAUCAGGGUAUCCUAGCAGCG
rnacentral:rRNA from 1 species